UCGCUUAUUUUCUUCCGUAGCUUUCCCUUUUUUCUUCCUCUUUGUUUAUGUGUUCUUCCGCCUGCCUUGAUCUUUCGUGUCUCUGCUUAUCUCUCUGCAUCGAUCCUCUGUUGUCUGAAGAGUUUCUUUUUCUGAUUCAUUGCGCUGUUUGAGAAAAUAUUGGUCUCCAGAGUUUGGGGGUUUUGUGAACAGCGUUGCAAGCCCUUUCGAAUAAAGGUUGUCUAUGGCUCAGUGGAAUUCUGGGCUAGAUAGCUUACAACUGGUAUCAGCACGGCAUGGAGACCAAUGUGAGGAUCAUUCACACCAGUUGUUUGAUACUGGAGUGUUUCAUGAUGAUCCUUAUCGUUUCCCGAUUUCAUGAUGCUGCAUAUCAACUUGAUGAGGACUAUAGUGAGAAUGGUGAUACUUAAGGAUAUUUUAUCUAUAUUAUAGUAAUCUCGAAAUGAAAACAUAGAUAUUUUUGUAUUUUGUAGCUACACCGAAUUG